AGUAAGUUGGCAGAAUAGUGCC
rnacentral:tRNA from 1 species